rnacentral:rRNA from 1 species
GGCGGUCUGUCAAGUCGGAUGUGAAAUCCCCGGGCUCAACCUGGGAACUGCAUUCGAAACUGGCAGGCUAGAGUCUUGUAGAGGGGGGUAGAAUUCCAGGUGUAGCGGUGAAAUGCGUAGAGAUCUGGAGGAAUACCGGUGGCGAAGGCGGCCCCCUGGACAAAGACUGACGCUCAGGUGCGAAAGCGUGGGGAGCAAACAGGAUUAGAUACCCUGGUAGUCCACGCCGUAAACGAUGUCGACUUGGAGGUUGUUCCCUUGAGGAGUGGCUUCCGGAGCUAACGCGUUAAGUCGACCGCCUGGGGAGUACGGCCGCAAGGUUAAAACUCAAAUGAAUUGACGGGGGCCCGCACAAGCGGUGGAGCAUGUGGUUUAAUUCGAUGCAACGCGAAGAACCUUACCUACUCUUGACAUCCACGGAAUUUAGCAGAGAUGCUUUAGUGCCUUCGGGAACCGUGAGACAGGUGCUGCAUGGCUGUCGUCAGCUCGUGU